GACGUAGGGUGCGAGCGUUGUCCGGAAUUAUUGGGCGUAAAGAGCGCGCAGGCGGUCGUUCAAGUCGCGUGUGAAAGCCCCCGGCUCAACUGGGGAGGGUCACGCGAUACUGAUCGACUCGAAGGCAGGAGAGGGAAGUGGAAUUCCCGGUGUAGUGGUGAAAUGCGUAGAUAUCGGGAGGAACACCAGUGGCGAAGGCGACUUCCUGGCCUGUUCUUGACGCUGAGGCGCGAAAGCUAGGGGAGCAAACGGG
rnacentral:rRNA from 1 species